CAGCCGCCGCGGUAAUACGGAGGGUGCAAGCGUUAAUCGGAAUUACUGGGCGUAAAGCGCGCGUAGGUGGUUUGUUAAGUUGGAUGUGAAAGCCCCGGGCUCAACCUGGGAACUGCAUCCAAAACUGGCAAGCUAGAGUACGGUAGAGGGUGGUGGAAUUUCCUGUGUAGCGGUGAAAUGCGUAGAUAUAGGAAGGAACACCAGUGGCGAAGGCGACCACCUGGACUGAUACUGACACUGAGGUGCGAAAGCGUGGGGAGCAAACAGGAUUAGAUACCCCAGUAGUCCCUGUCUCUUAACA
rnacentral:rRNA from 1 species